rnacentral:misc_RNA from 1 species
GAUGAAGAACGCAGCGAAAUGCGAUAAGUAGUGUGAAUUGCAGAAUUCAGUGAAUCAUCGAAUCUUUGAACGCGCAUUGCGUCUCCUGGUAUUCCGGGAGGCAUGCCUGUUCGAGCGUCAUUAAAAUCACUCAAGCUUAGGUUUACCUAUUGCUUGGUCUUGGAGAUGGAAGCCAAUUUAUUGGAAUCCUCUUCGAAAUUCAAUGGCGAAGACCCUUGCUCUCCCAAGUGUAGUAAUAACUUAUGUCAGUGAAGGAAGCGAGAAAUCUUCUGCCGUAACCCCCAUAUUUUCUAUGAUUGACCUCGGAUCAGGUAGGGAUACCCGCUGAACUUAAGCAUAUCAAUAAGCGGAGGA